AUUGAACGCUGGCGGCAUGCUUUACACAUGCAAGUCGAACGGCAGCGGGGUAGUGCUUGCACUACUGCCGGCGAGUGGCGAACGGGUGAGUCAUAUAUCGGAACGUACCGAGUAAUGGGGGAUAACCAAUCGAAAGAUUGGCUAAUACCGCAUACGUCCUGAGGGAGAAAGCGGGGGAUCGCAAGACCUCGCGUUAUUCGAGCGGCCGAUAACUGAUUAGCUAGUUGGUGGGGUAAAGGCCUACCAAGGCGACGAUCAGUAGCGGGUCUGAGAGGACGAUCCGCCACACUGGGACUGAGACACGGCCCAGACUCCUACGGGAGGCAGCAGUGGGGAAUUUUGGACAAUGGGGGCAACCCUGAUCCAGCCAUGCCGCGUGUAUGAAGAAGGCCUUCGGGUUGUAAAGUACUUUUGUUAGGGAAGAAAAGGGAAGUGCUAAUACCACUUUUUGCUGACGGUACCUAAAGAAUAAGCACCGGCUAACUACGUG
rnacentral:rRNA from 1 species